UACGUAGGAGGCAAGCGUUGUCCGGAAUUACUGGGCGUAAAGCGCGUGUAGGUGGUGGGACAAGUCUGCUGUGAAAGCGCCUGGCUUAACCGGGCGAGGUCGGCGGAAACUGUCGCACUCGAGGACGGUAGAGGGGGGUGGAAUUCCCGGUGUAGUGGUGAAAUGCGUAGAGAUCGGGAGGAACACCUGUGGCGAAGGCGGCCCCCUGGGCCGGCCCUGACACUGAGACGCGAAGGCGUGGGGAGCGAACGGG
rnacentral:rRNA from 1 species